rnacentral:miRNA from 1 species
UCUCUUUUGUGGGUGUGUAUGUGUGUCUAUAUGUGUGUAUAUUUAUACAUAUACACACACAAACACACACACACUACAC